rnacentral:rRNA from 1 species
UACGUAGGGGGCAAGCGUUAUCCGGAUUUACUGGGUGUAAAGGGAGCGUAGACGGCGAUGCAAGUCUGAAGUGAAAGGCGGGGGCCCAACCCCCGGACUGCUUUGGAAACUGUAUAGCUGGAGUGCAGGAGAGGAAAGCGGAAUUCCUAGUGUAGCGGUGAAAUGCGUAGAUAUUAGGAAGAACACCAGUGGCGAAGGCGGCUUUCUGGACUGAAACUGACGCUGAGGCACGAAAGCGUGGGGAGCGAACAGG